GGAGAUGGAGGAGAUGGGCAGGACAGAGAGAGAGUAGAGUUGGGUUCAGGGGAGAUGGAGGAGAUGGGCAGGACAGAGAGAGAGUAGAAGUGGGUUCAGGGAGAUGGAGGAGAUGGGCAGGACAGAGAGAGAGAGUAGAGUGGGGAGAGAGGAGAUGGAGGAGAUGGGCAGGACAGAGAGAGAGUAGAGUGGGUUCAGAGGAGAUGGAGGAGAUGGGCAGGACAGAGAGAGAGAGUAGAGUGGGUUCAGAGGAGAUGGAGGAGAUGGGCAGGACAGAGAGAGAGUAGAAGUGGGUUCAGAGGAGAUGGAGGAGAUGGGCAGGACAGAGAGAGAGUAGAGUGGGUUCAGAGGAGAUGGAGGAGAUGGGCAGGACAGAGAGAGAGUAGAGUUGGGUUCAGGGGAGAUGGAGGAGAUGGGCAGGACAGAGAGAGAGUAGAGUGGGUUCAGGGGAGAUGGAGGAGAUGGGCAGGACAGAGAGAGAGUAGAGUUGGGUUCAGGGUGUCCUUCUGUUUUCUCUCACUGAUUCAUAGGUAAUCUCUUCAGCUCUUUGUUUCCCGGUGGUUGUCAUAGUGAGGAGCUGACAGUCUCUC
ensembl:lncRNA